GGGGUAUGAGUUUUACUCAUUGCUGAAGGUAGUACAGUGACCUAUAGCUGUCAACAUCUAUGUCAUUUGGUCUCUUGUGGAGAGUUGUCUCAUUGGCAAUCAUACCACAUCUUCUUUUUUUUAUAUUCAAAUGUCAUUGAGAUAAAUUAAAUAGGCAAGUGCACUACUCAUGUUCUGUAGGCAAAUCUGUGCAUAUUUAGACGAAUUCUG
rnacentral:lncRNA from 1 species